rnacentral:lncRNA from 1 species
UCUAGAUCCAUUUUAGAAUGGUACAUAUUUUCAUUCUUUAAUCCAGACCUCUUUUUGUCUCUACAGGCAGCUGUGGAAAGUUCUUGUGGGGAUCCAGCUCUCCCGACUCCAUCCCUCUCCCUCCAGGCCUCGUCUUACCCCAACGUUCCACAAUCUGGAGGUUUAACAAGCUUAGUCCCUCUGCAUGCUUUACCCUUCCCCGGACUAACUUACGCCAGCAAAACGUCUGGACACGCCCAGAUCUGCAAAGACUCCAUACUAACCAGUCCAGGACCCGGAACCUUCCAGUAUGGUCUCACACAUGAUGGAAGUCAGAUUCACGCAGAAGGUGCCAACGCUCAGAGAAAACUGCACUGAAGAGAGGAACCGCGGUUCUCUAUUCUUUAAAAUAAUGUCCUCAUGAAUGAACUGGACUCUAAAGUGGUGAGACCACAACGGUGUUAAAGACUGAGUCAAGUGACCGCCCACCUUAAAUACAUAAUUACACAUUUCACCAUUUCUACUUUAAAUACAUCAACAACAGAAACUGAAAAGUGUUACACUAAGCUGAUGGAGAAGCUACACGCGUGAAAAUAACCCAGUUCAGACUAUGUGCUACUAUUACUACUAAUCCAGACUAGGCAUGUGACCAUCAGUGCAUCAAGAAUGUGGUAGUGGUGCCUUUAAUAAUAUUCAUGAUUAUUAAUAACAAUAAUAAUAUUUUCUUUUCCUUUUUGAGUUUUGUCUUUACUGUAAUAUCUGCACUUAAGGACUUUUGAAGCUGAUGCUUUCUUCUUCUUCGUCUUCUUCUGCCUGAGAUCUUUUAAAUGUUUCUCCUUUGAGUUCUUUUUGUCUUUACUGUAAUAUCUGCACUUAAGAACGUAGGCUUAAGGCACUUUGUUCUUUUUACCCUUUCCUGUCUAAAAUUCUCUUACUUUUCACAAUCCUUCUUAUUUUUUUAGUUCCUGCCUAUCAGCUCCUAACAUUAUGCUUUAAACAGCAUUCCAUGUACUUUCCAAAGACCUUGUAGAGCAGUAUGUGUACGAGACUGAUCUCCUCAGCUUUAGACAGUUAACUCUUUAGCUGAUUAGUUUUUCUAUCUUAAUUUCUUUCAUCAGUUGGCACUGAUUUAUGUUUUAUGUGACAUGGACUGAAGGUAAUUUACAAAAUGAACGCAAAGCGCUCACAAUGAAAAGAGUCUUAAUUAAUGGACGGCUGAAUUAGUUUAGCUUUUUUCCUGAAAUGUAAAAUGCCAUUUAUUUAUUGUCUCAGGGAUUCUUAAGGAAGAGGGUGUUGCAUUAAGCACAAACUUGGGAGUAAUAGCACUGCAUGUAGUUUUGUAUGUCCUAAAAUGUGACUGAGCUAAGCUGAUAAGAUGGUAUUGUUUAUAAAUAAAAUAGGCAAACAAUAUGGAUGGCCUGAUCUU